rnacentral:rRNA from 1 species
UCCGUAGGUGAACCUGCGGAAGGAUCAUUAAUAGUGCCCUCUGAUGCAAAUCAUUGGGUUAGAUCUGCUCUCUUCGCAAGAAGAGGGUUUCCAUACACACCGUGAACUGUGGCUUCGGCCAUCACAAACUGUUAGUAAUGAAUGUAAUAUCAUAACAAAAACAAAACUUUUAACAACGGAUCUCUUGGCUCUCGCAUCGAUGAAGAACGCAGCGAAAUGCGAUAAGUAAUGUGAAUUGCAGAAUUCAGUGAAUCAUCGAAUCUUUGAACGCACCUUGCGCUCCUUGGUAUUCCUUGGAGCAUGCCUGUUUGAGUAUCAUGAAAUCCUCAAAAUAUAUCUUUCGUUCAUUCGAUUGGUUUUAUUUUGGACUUGGAGGUCUGCAGAUUCACGUCUGCUCCUCUCAAAUGCAUUAGCUGGAUCUCAGUGAGCUCGGUUCCACUCGGCGUGAUAAGUAUCACUCGCUGAGGACACUGUAAAAAGUGGCCGGGAUUGCAGAUGAACCGCUUCUAAUCGUCUAUUAGCUUAGACAAUUAAAUCUUAUGAUCUGAUCUCAAAUCAGGGGUAGGGGGGACUACCCGGCUGGAACUUAAGGCAUAUCAAUAAGGCGGGGGAGGGGAAGGUCGGACUGGCCAA